UUCAACGUAUUGAGAGAAUGUUGAUAGAAAUAAAAUUUGACAUUAAUUGUCUAACUGAACAAUAUCAACAUAUAAAUAAUAAAUGUUUCUCAAAUGAGGCACAAGAACGUCAUAAUUCUACACCAACUGAUGAAUUAAGUGAGUUAUCCUUCCCUCUGAAAACUAUAGAAGAAGUCGAGUCACUAGAACGCAUUCUUACUUCAAACGGAGUAGGAAUAAAAGAGCAUAUGUUUAACAUAUUAGCAAUGAUUGGUGGGACUAGCUAUGAAGAAAUGUCAAAAAGGAUGCUUCUUUAUGUUUUUACGAAUGAAGUAGCUAGUAUGUACAGUUAGGUAGGAGGUAAAGGAAAACGGAAACUUCAUAAUUUCGAAAUAAUGAAAUUAAUGUUUAAAGUUGUCAGGAAGACAUUCCCUAAUGUUACCGAAAAGAAUUUUGAAAUUAAAUGCAAAGAUUGGUUCCGACACGCGAAACACAGAGCUGAAAACGAAAAAUGACGGCAAAGUUCAACAAAGUAAAGUCGUCAGCUACAUUUCUCAACUACAGUUCGCAGCUACAGAAUUCUCAGUGUUCAGAUUAAUUAAUCUUUAAUAUAAAAAAUAUUUUAUGUUAUAAUGUUAAUUGAGAGCCUAUGUUUUUAUAUUAAUUAUAGAUAUAGUUGCAACUGUAUUUUUGUA
rnacentral:lncRNA from 1 species